rnacentral:rRNA from 1 species
UACGGAGGGGACUAGCGUUGUUCGGAAUUACUGGGCGUAAAGCGCACGUAGGCGGAUUUGUAAGUCAGGGGUGAAAUCCUGGAGCUCAACUCCAGAACUGCCUUUGAUACUGAGGAUCUCGAGUCCGGGAGAGGUGAGUGGAACUCCGAGUGUAGAGGUGAAAUUCGUAGAUAUUCGGAAGAACACCAGUGGCGAAGGCGGCUCACUGGCCCGGUACUGACGCUGAGGUGCGAAAGCGUGGGGGGCAAACAGG